rnacentral:rRNA from 1 species
GAUGAACGCUAGCGGCAGGCCUAAUACAUGCAAGUCGGACGGGAUUUGGGAGCUUGCUCCUGAUGAGAGUGGCGCACGGGUGCGUAACACGUAUGUAACCUACCUUGAUCUGGGGGAGUAGCCUCUCGAAAGAGAGAUUAACACCGCAUAAUAUUAUUUGGCAGCAUUGUUGAAUAAUACAAAUAAUUUAUAGGAUCAAGAUGGCAUGCGGAACAUUAGCUAGUUGGUAAGGUAAUGGCUUA